GACGAACGCUGGCGGCGUGCUUAACGCAUGCAAGUCGAACGGUGAAGCGCCUUCCUUUUUGGUGGGUGUGGAUGAGUGGCGCACGGGUGAGUAACACGUGAGUAACCUGCCCCCUUCUUCUGGAUAACCGCAUGAAAGUGUGGCUAAUACGGGAUAUUCUGGGUCUGUCGCAUGAUGGGUCUGGGAAAGAUAUUGUUUCGGUGGGGGAUGGGCUCGCGGCCUAUCAGCUUGUUGGUGGGGUGAUGGCCUACCAAGGCGGUGACGGGUAGCCGGCCUGAGAGGGUGGACGGUCACACUGGGACUGAGACACGGCCCAGACUCCUACGGGAGGCAGCAGUGGGGAAUAGUGCACAAUGGGCGAAAGCCUGAUGCAGCGACGCCGCGUGAGGGAUGGAGGCCUUCGGGUUGUGAACCUCUUUCGCCAGUGAAGCAGGCCUGCCUCGUUUGUGGGUGGGUUGACGGUAGCUGGAUAAGAAGCGCCGGCUAACUACGUG
rnacentral:rRNA from 1 species